rnacentral:rRNA from 1 species
GGUCGUUCAAUACUGUCGGACUAGAGGAUGGUAGAGGGAGGUGGAAUUCCGGGUGUAGUGGUGAAAUGCGCAGAUAUCCGGAGGAACACCAGUGGCGAAGGCGGCCUCCUGGACCAGUCCUGACGCUCAGACGCGAAAGCUAGGGUAGCAAACGGGAUUAGAGACCCCGGUAGUCCUAGCUGUAAACGAUGUGAACUUGGCGUCGGUGGGAUUAAAUCCAUCGGUGUCGAAGCUAACGCGAUAAGUUCACCGCCUGAGGACUACGGCCGCAAGGUUAAAACUCAAAGGAAUUGACGGGGACCCGCACAAGCAGCGGAGCGUGUGGUUUAAUUCGUUGCUACACGAAGAACCUUACCUGGGUUUGACAUAUAGGUUGUAGGGAACUGAAAAGGGACCGACCCUUCGGGGAGCCUAUACAGGUGUUGCAUGGCUGUCGUCAGCUCGUGUCGUGAGAUGUUCGGUUAAGUCCGCUAACGAGCGCAACCCUCGUCGUAUGUUACAAGUGUCAUACGAGACUGCCGGUAAAAAGCCGGAGGAAGGUGAGGAUGAUGUCAAGUCAGCAUGACCUUUAUAUCCAGGGCUACACACACGCUACAAUGGUCUGUACAAUGGGUAGCCAAGCCGCGAGGCGGAGCCAAUCCUGAAAGCAGGCCUCAGUUCAGAUUGCAGUCUGCAACUCGACUGCAUGAAGCCGGAGUUGCUAGUAACCGCAGGUCAGCAAUACUGCGGUGAAUACGUUCCCGGGUCUUGUACACACCGCCCGUCACGUCAUGGAAGCUGGCAACGCCUGAAGGCGGUAUCCUAACCCUCACGGGAAGGAGCUGUCUAAGGUGGGGUCGGUGACUGGGACGAA